rnacentral:miRNA from 1 species
UUUGCUGGCGGGAAGUCACUGC